GAUUGGGGACGCCACGAGCAGCGAGGUUGGCGUUGGGUAGGGCUCGGUGAAGAUGAGGACGAAGCUGGGGAACUUGGAUUUCUACGCGGAUCGAUCCCUAUACAUCGGAUGGGAUUUCUACGCGGAUCGAAGAGGGACUGGUUUGCCGCACGAUCUAGGGAAAAGGAAACCAAGAAAGAACUCAACAAAGAAAUGGUUUCCUAAGGAGCCAGCUGAAGCUUCUUCAUCACAGCCAAACUAGGGGAUUCUGGUCAACACCAACUUGUCUCCACUGAUGUUCCAGAAGAAAUAGUUGAUACUACCCCACAGAGGAGAGUGAGGUGUGCUGUCAAAAAGAAGAUUACUCCGAAGAAGAAGAUCUGCUUCUGAGUAGCUGCUUAAGUAUGGCAGUUGUGUCUGUAUUUUAAGUAUGAAUUAUGGCAGUUGUGUUUGUAUUUUAAGUAUGAAUUAUGGCAGUUGUUUCUGGCAGCUGUCAACAAUUUCUGUUUGUGCCUGAGAUGAAAAUGUAGUACUGGUUGUGUUUAGAAACGUGACAGGCAACAACCCAGUAGUGAUUGAAGUAGUGAACUAUUUCUGUUUGUGCCCAGUGGUCAACAAUUUCUGUUUGUGAAUGACAUGAAAAUGUAGUCAACAUUUUCUGUUUGUGCCCAGCUGUCAACAAUUUC